GGUGAUAGAGCUUAGAGGUAAAUCAUUUGUCUAGCAAGUAAGAGGCCUUAUGUUCAAUCCUUAAUAUUACCU
rnacentral:tRNA from 1 species